UACGGAGGGUGCAAGCGUUAUCCGGAUUUAUUGGGGUUAAAGGGUGCGCAGGCGGGGCUUUAAGUCAGUGGUGAAAUCUCUUCGCUUAACGAAGAAACUGCCAUUGAUACUGAAGUUCUUGAAUCUAGUUGACGUUAGUGGAAUGUGUCAUGUAGCGGUGAAAUGCUUAGAUAUGACACAGAACACCGAUCGCGAAGGCAGCUAACGAAGCUAGUAUUGACGCUCAGGCACGACAGCAUGGGGAGCAAACAGG
rnacentral:rRNA from 1 species